UGGGGAAUUUUGGACAAUGGGCGCAAGCCUGAUCCAGCCAUGCCGCGUGAGUGAAGAAGGCCUUCGGGUUGUAAAGCUCUUUCAGACGGAAAGAAAUCUCUUGGGCGAAUACCCUGGGAGGAUGACGGUACCGUAAGAAGAAGCACCGGCUAACUACGUGCCAGCAGCCGCGGUAAUACGUAGGGUGCGAGCGUUAAUCGGAAUUACUGCGCGCAAAGCGUGCGCAGUCGGUGAUGUAAGACAGAUGUGAAAUCCCCGGGCUCAACCUGGGAACUGCGUUUGUGAAUGCAUAACUAGAGUACGGAAGAGGGAGGUGGAAUUCCGCGUGUAGCAGAGAAAUGCAUAGAGAUGCGGAGGAACACCGAUGGCGAAGGAAAUCACCUGGACAUGUAAUGACGCUCAUGCACGAAAGCGUGGGGAGCAAACA
rnacentral:rRNA from 1 species